GCCUGGGUGGCUCAGUUGGUUAAGCAUCUGACUUCGGCUCAGGUCAUGAUCUCAUGGUUUGUGGGUUCGAGCCCCGCGUCAGGCU
rnacentral:tRNA from 1 species